GUCAUUUGUUUGCCCUGCCUCCCACGCGAAAGAGAAACAUGUCCAAAUAUGAUUAUUUUUAUGAAUGAAUUAUAUGAGCACAUCUGAACCAUCGAGUUUUGGCUGUAUAGCCACCAAAAAUGAAUUAAGUACCUCUUUCAGCUGUAGCUGUAGCUGUAACUCGGAGGUUUAGAUCUCAUUUACUGUAAAAAAAAAAUUUCAAAAGAAGUGACAGAACACACUUUUAAUCUAAUCAAGUUCGUAAAUCUAUUAAUCCGUUAUACAAUUUUUUAGACUCCUCUUUCCCGUAAAAUAUGAUAAAUUAUGUUAUAUAAAUAUUAUCAUUACAGCCAAAAAAAUUUAUAUCAGCACCUCUGGAUACGUAUUAUAUGUAUAUAAAAAUGAAAUUUAAAUUUAAAUUAAGUGACAUGCAUCCAAAGUGGCAGGAUAUAUGUGGUCAACGUAUAUGAGAUUGAUCUUCAUUUUUUUCAACUUCUACAAUAACACGAUUAGAAUUAAAGAUAUAUGCAUUAACAAGUAAUUGUGAUAUCGGAAGACUUUUACACUUUCUUGGGUUCUAGCAUACGAACUGUCCUUCAUAUCCGUUGAAUUAUCAUAAUUGAUAUGCUAAGAAAUUAUUUUUGGCAACACGACAUAAUAGUGAACUGACUCAUGUAAAUAGAAUUUUCUCUCAUACUACAAGUAGAGGCUAAGUUAAAAACUUUUUCACUAUUUUCCGGUUUUUAUCUUUGAUUUUUGGUGCUUCCAAGAAACGAAGCCUAAUUUUGACUUUUCAUGCAGUUUUUUGAAGUCAUCACCAACCUUCCACAGCUGUGCCUUCGUGAUAGACUAGUCUACAUGUCUAUGACGCGGAAUCAUCUCCCAUAAUCUAAUUAAUUAUGAUGACAAAAGCGGCUUAAGUCACCAGUGCACCAAUCUUUAUUGUCUCUAUAAAUAUGGGCAAUUGACGAUAAGCUCAACGGAACAAGUAAAGAGAUAACCAACCGUAGGAUAUCAAGAACUCCAAAGAAGCUUAAAGAAAUGGAGAGCUCCAAAGCAACCCUCUACCUUCAGAGGCCAAAAGCAGUCGAGGAAGCUGAUAAUAAAGAAGAGAAGACAAGUCAUGGUCCGGUGAGGAGGGUAGCGGAGCCAAACGGCAAAAGGUUACUGGAGAGAAAGCCAACGGAGGAUAUAAAUGCGAGCGCUGAGGCAUUCAUCAACAAGUUCAGGCAGCAGCUGCUCCUUCAGAGGCUUGAGUCCAUUGAGAACUAUGAACAAAUGCUCAAAAGGGGCACAUGAUUUAAGUGUCGAAUAUCAUUGAUCAGCAUAGAGCAUAGCCCCCACCUUAUUCUUUUCAAUAAUCUCUUCCAUUGAUCCACUGUCAAUUUUUGUGUCCCUUAAAAAAAUUUGAUUUGUGCUGUGCAUCUACUCUUAAUAUAUAAGACAUUUUAUAUGGGGAAUUUAUAUUUGGGAUUGUGUGAGACUAUGAUUGCUUAUUUUGUAUCUUAAUAAUAAGCAACUCUUUGCCAGAUGCCCGAGUAAUUAUGAAUAUGAUAUUUCUAACGAUGCUGUUAAUAUGCUCAUAUUAUAUCAUAACUUAACGUGUAAACACGCACAAUUAUAAUUAUUACACUCUUCCUUUGAAAAAACUUUUGUAAAGUAAUUGUAAUUCUCUGAAAAAAAAAUCUAACAC
rnacentral:lncRNA from 1 species